rnacentral:misc_RNA from 1 species
CGUCGAUAUGCUGGCCAGCCUGCUGGCCGACGUCAAUUUCGCCGCGAGCAACAUCAGCGCCGCUGCAAACGCCAACAACGCCGAGACGCUCAGCGAUCAGGAAUAUGCAUUCUCGGUGACGUACGACAGCAUCGAGAUCUCCCUCAAGGCGCUCGGCCAUGCCGGCGACGGCGACAAGCUGAAGGACGCCGUCACGCAGAUGAUGGCGUUCGGCAACAAGAAGAACGGCCUUUUCAAGCUGCGCCAGAAGGAACUGGA